GAUGAACGCUAGCUACAGGCUUAACACAUGCAAGUCGAGGGGCAGCACAGUGUAGCAAUACACGGGUGGCGACCGGCGCACGGGUGCGUAACGCGUAUCCAACCUUCCCGUUACUCUUGGAUAGCCUUCCGAAAGGGAGAUUAAUACAAGAUGGUAUUCAAAUUCCGCAUGUUAUUUGAAUUAAAGAUUUAUCGGUAACGGAUGGGGAUGCGUGACAUUAGAUAGUAGGCGGGGUAACGGCCCACCUAGUCUACGAUGUCUAGGGGUUCUGAGAGGAAGGUCCCCCACACUGGACUGAGACACGGUCCAG
rnacentral:rRNA from 1 species